GGUACCAUAGUGUAGUGGUCAUCAUGUCUGACUUACAUGCAGAAGGUCCUUGGUUCAAUCCCCAGUGGAACCA